UGUCCUAUCAGUUGAAUCGCAGUGGAGAUGAGAGGAGUGCUGCAUCUUUUAACAAUUCUUGCUUCUGAUGUUCAAUCCACAGUAUGGGUAGAGUGGUAUUAAAGGAACGUUUGGGCCAAACUGGCACAAAAACACUUUGGAUGUCAACAUCAGCAGCAGCUCAAGAUCCCUUCAGAGAACAUGAUUAUACAUGAACGACAAUUGGUUCUCAAAGAAACGUAUCACAUGUGGAACGGAUCGUUUUAGAUGCCAUGUACUUGGCUGAGGAUAACACAAUGCCAUAAAGCUGGAAAAAGAUAUCGUCAUACGCAUGGACAGACAGACAACAGGAUAAUGUUUUCUCAAAUCACAGGAAAAUAUCAAGCUUGGGAUAAGAGAAGCUGGAAUGGAAAAAAGGACAACUUCAGGAAUGACGCUUUUCAAUAAGGUUUCUGGAUGCUUUUGACGUUCAUUGCAAAACCAAAAGAAGAAAUCAGCCCAGUGGAAUUCAAGAUAAACACAAGUUUACUCAGAGGUAGAAAACAAACUAAACCAAGAGUUUACUUCAAGACUAAGUCGAAAGAAUCGCAGGGAAAAUUUGUCACCCAGUAUCAAGAUAGGACUGUUAUCAGAGCGAAUUAGUUUCUGCCAUUUUGAGCUGUUUGUGAAAUCAUAGCUUCGACUGAAAUUUAUCACUGGAAUAACACAAAUUUUCUAAAUAUAUUUAAUGUUGAAUUUUUUGUGUUAGUUUUUUCCUAAGUAACAUCGGUUUGAACGGUUUCAAUUUUCCCGCCAAAAGACUUAGAAAAAUA